rnacentral:rRNA from 1 species
CUCUGAGGCGAAGCUGAGGAGCAUGCCGCGUGAAGGAAGAAGGCCCACGGUCGUAAACUCCUUUUCUCAGAGAAGAAGCAAUGACGGUAUCUGAGGAAUAAGCAUCGGCUAACUCUGUGCCAGCAGCCGCGGUAAGACAGAGGAUGCAAGCGUUAUCCGGAAUGAUUGGGCGUAAAGCGUCUGUAGGGGGCUUUUUAAGUCUGCCGGCAAAUCCCAGGGCUUAACCCUGGACAGGCGGGGGAAACUACCAAGCUGGAGUACGGUAGGGGCAGAGGGAAUUUCCGGGGGAGCGGUGAAAUGGGUAAAGAUCGGAAAAAACACCAACGGGGAAGGCACUCUGCUGGGCCGACACUGACACUGAGAGACGAAAGCUAGGGGAGCAAAUGGGAUUAAAUACCCCAGUAGUCCUAGCCGUAAACGAUGGAUACUAAGCGCUGUGCGUAUCGACCCGUGCAGUGCUGUAGCUAACGCGUUAAGUAUCCCGCCUGGGGAGUACGUUCGCAAGAAUGAAACUCAAAGGAAUUGACGGGAG